rnacentral:tRNA from 1 species
GGAGUGGUAUCGAAGUGGUCAUAACGAGACUGACUCGAAAUCAGUUGAACCUUAGGGUUCCGUGGGUUCGAAUCCCACCCACUCCG